UGGGGAAUAUUGCACAAUGGGCGCAAGCCUGAUGCAGCCAUGCCGCGUGUAUGAAGAAGGCCUUCGGGUUGUAAAGUACUUUCAGCGGGGAGGAAGGGAGUAAAGUUAAUACCUUUGCUCAUUGACGUUACCCGCAGAAGAAGCACCGGCUAACUCCGUGCCAGCAGCCGCGGUAAUACGGAGGGUGCAAGUGUUAAUCGGAAUUACUGGGCGUAAAGCGCACGCAGGCGGUUUGUUAAGUCAGAUGUGAAAUCCCCGGGCUCAACCUGGGAACUGCAUCUGAUACUGGCAAGCUUGAGUCUCGUAGAGGGGGGUAGAAUUCCAGGUGUAGCGGUGAAAUGCGUAGAGAUCUGGAGGAAUACCGGUGGCGAAGGCGGCCCCCUGGACGAAGACUGACGCUCAGGUGCGAAAGCGUGGGGAGCAAACAGG
rnacentral:rRNA from 1 species